AUCCACCUAGAAAAACCAGGCUUCAGUGGCCAGGUUCAGCAUUCCAUGUCAGUGGUGAUCAUUUUACUGAGAAGGAAGCCAUGGGAUGGGCAGGUUCUUCUAAAGGUGAAUGGCUAUACAAGCUGUGAUACAACCAAACCACAGAAUGCCACUUAGAAAUAUAAAGGAACAGACUACUGAUACAUAAAACAACUUGGAUGAACCUCAGAGCAAUUAUCCUCAGUGGAAAAAGCCAACCUACAUGCCAAGACCAUAGAAAUGGAAAACAGAAAAAUCAAGCUUUGUCUGAAGACCAAGUUUAUUCCAAGGAGGGAUCA
rnacentral:lncRNA from 1 species